AUGGCCGCGGUAUUUUGACCGUGCAAAGGUAGCAUAAUCAUUAGUUUUUUAAUUGAAAGCUGGAAUGAAUGGUUGGACAAGGAAAUUUCUGUCUCUAUUUAAUUUUUAGAAUUUUAUUUUUUAGUUAAAAAGCUUAAAUUUUUUUAAGGGACGAGAAGACCCUAUAGAAUUUUACUGAUUUAUUUAUUUUUGAUUUUUGGUUUUAUUAUGAAAAAAUAGGUAAGUUUGUUUAGUUGGGGUGAUUGAAAAAUUUAGAAAACUUUUUUUAAUUAAAGUCAUUAAUUUGUGAAUAGUUGAUCCAUUAGUUGUGAUUAUAAGAUUAAAUUACCUUAGGGAUAACAGC
rnacentral:rRNA from 1 species